rnacentral:rRNA from 1 species
AACAGGAUUAGAUACCCUGGUAGUCCACGCCGUAAACGAUGUCUACUUGGAGGCUGUGGUCUUGAACCGUGGCUUCCGGAGCUAACGCGUUAAGUAGACCGCCUGGGGAGUACGGCCGCAAGGUUAAAACUCAAAUGAAUUGACGGGGGCCCGCACAAGCGGUGGAGCAUGUGGUUUAAUUCGAUGCAACGCGAAGAACCUUACCUACUCUUGACAUCCAGAGAACUUAGCAGAGAUGCUUUGGUGCCUUCGGGAACUCUGAGACAGGUGCUGCAUGGCUGUCGUCAGCUCGUGUUGUGAAAUGUUGGGUUAAGUCCCGCAACGAGCGCAACCCUUAUCCUUUGUUGCCAGCGAUUCGGUCGGGAACUCAAAGGAGACUGCCAGUGAUAAACUGGAGGAAGGUGGGGAUGACGUCAAGUCAUCAUGGCCCUUACGAGUAGGGCUACACACGUGCUACAAUGGCGCAUACAAAGAGAAGCGACCUCGCGAGAGCAAGCGGACCUCAUAAAGUGCGUCGUAGUCCGGAUUGGAGUCUGCAACUCGACUCCAUGAAGUCGGAAUCGCUAGUAAUCGUGGAUCAGAAUGCCACGGUGAAUACGUUCCCGGGCCUUGUACACACCGCCCGUCACACCAUGGGAGUGGGUUGCAAAAGAAGUAGGUAGCUUAACCUUCGGGAGGGCGCUUACCACUUUGUGAUUCAUGACUGGGGUGAAGUCGUAACAAGGUAACC